GAUGAACGCUAGCGGCAGGCCUAACGCAUGCAAGUCGAGGGGUAACUAGAGUGAUAGCAAUAUUACUUUGGCUAGACCGGCGCACGGGUGCGUAACACGUAUGCAACCUACCUUAUACUGGGGAAUAACUUCGAGAAAUCGGCGCUAAUACCCCAUAACAUUGCGAAGAGGCAUCUCUUUGCAAUUAAAGCUCCGGCGGUAUAAGAUGGGCAUGCGUCCAAUUAGCUAGUUGGUGAGGUAACGGCUCACCAAGGCUACGAUUGGUAGGGGUUCUGAGAGGAUGAUCCCCCACACUGGUACUGAGACACGGACCAGACUCCUACGGGAGGCAGCAGUGAGGAAUAUUGCGCAAUGGACGAAAGUCUGACGCAGCCAUGCCGCGUGCAGGAUGACGGCCCUGUGGGUUGUAAACUGCUUUUGUACGGGAAUAAACCCUUCUACGUGUAGGAGGCUGAAGGUACCGUAAGAAUAAGCACCGGCUAACUCCGUGCCAGCCGCCGCGGUAAGAC
rnacentral:rRNA from 1 species